rnacentral:ncRNA from 2 species
UUCUUAUCUAGAGAGGUCUAGGGACUGGCCCGUUGACGCCUCAGCAACCAUUAACAUUUUUGUUAAUAAGGUGCUAAUUCCAGCAAACUGAGAAAUGAUUUGAAAGAUAAGAA